UUUCCCUCUUCAAUAUUCUCCCUCUCUCUGUCUCUCUCGUCAAUAUGGGUAUGUGCAAGUGCAACUGUGCAAGAGCAGAAAACAAAGGCUGAAGCAGAGUGCAGACAGAUAAAAUCAUAUAAAACUUGCUUCGUUUUUGGGCUUCUUCCUCAACACAAAGAUAGCAAAUCUGAUGUUUUUGGAGUCAUUGUUGGUUUCUUAGGCUUCACCACUUCAAGCUUGAGAACAUUUUCAAAAUCAAAAUCUCUCCUCUCAAAUCUGAAACAAAAUCUCUCUUUCUCUUUCUCUCUCUCUUUUUAAAAAAAAAUAACACAACAUUUGUAGUUUUAACGAAGAACUGCUAAAAACCGGUUUAACCGUAUUGGUUUCCGGUUUUUCCGGUUAAACAAGCGGUUUUCCGGUUUUAACAAUUUUUCUUUUAUUUUUGAUUUUUAACAAUAAUUGGACCGGAUUAGUAUCCGGUUUCCGGUUGAACCGGCCGGUCCGAUUUUUAAAACCACGGGAAUUACACUUCUAAAAAUGGUAACUUCAAUUUUUAUUUGUUGGGGUUUUGAGAAUUUGGGAAUAUGAAAAUAAAAAUGAAAUUUUUUGAAGUUUGAAUGAAUAAUACCCAAUAUCCCAUUUCAACUUAGGAUUUUAUUUGUCAGGUUCAAUUCUUGUUUUAUUAAGCUUUCAUUUCUUAAGUUUUGUUUGCAACAAAGUGAGCAAGUGUGCCUGUUUUUGUACUGAUUAUUGGAUUAAUUUCUUUGAAUAUGGUAUAUUUUUAAUAAUAUUGAGAUAAUGGUUUGUGUAUUGUGAUAUGCAGUUAGUCAGAAAAAUUGGUUGUUAUUGGGAGCUCUGAAUGUCAAUUUUGGCUCAGCUAGAUUAAUUCAUGGCACUGCUUGCGAAGAAGCUACAUCCAGAUACAUAUAAAGAUGAUCCUGAAGCUGAGAAAAAGUUUCAAGAAGUUCAAAGAGCAUAUGAGGAAUUUGACCCCAAGGCAACGUGAAUUGAUUGAAGAGUUUACCAAAGAAGAGAAAGGGGAAUAUGAAAUGUAGACUAAUUGGUGUUGUUUGUUUGCUAAUUCUUAGCAAAAAGGAUAAAGGCAACUGAAGAAAAAGCAUCAAUUGUUGAAAGACACACCCACUCUAUAAGUUUUGUAGGAGUGACUGGGUCGUUUUUGUCCUUUUUUUUUGGGGUAUGUAAUUUUAUUCUUACAAAUCACAAUGGUAGUUUUAUUUGAGGUGACAACAUUUGAUCACUUGAAUCUAGAGUAUCUAAGUUGUUAUUGUACAUAUCAUUUAUUGUUCUUUAAUGUUUUUCACUAUCAAGAAUGUCAAGUCAGUUUAUCUGUCAUUUUUGUAUUAUGUUAUGAAUAAUGUCACGUACAUGGAUAUUUAAAUGUUAGUUGGAAUAAAUCUUUUGAAUAUAUAAAUGGUUCAAUAUUUACUGAAGCA